AUUGAACGCUGGCGGCAGGCCUAACACAUGCAAGUCGAGCGAGCGGCGGACGGGUGAGGAAUGUAUGGGGAAUGUCCGAUAGAGGGGGAUAACUACUGGAAACGGUAGCUAAUACCGCAUACUAUCGGAUAACCCAUAUGGGAUUAGCUCGUAGGUGAGGUAAUGGCGCACCUAGGCGACGAUCCCUCGCUGGUCUGAGAGGAUGAUCAGCCACACUGGGACUGAGACACGGCCCAGACUCCGACGGAGGCAGCAGUGGGGAAUAUUGCACAAUGGGCGCAAGCCUGAUGCAGCCAUGCCGCGUGUAUGAAGAAGGCCCUGGGGUUGUAAAGUACUUUCAGUCGGGAGGCGUUACCGACAGAAGAAGCACCGGCUAACUCCGUGCCAGCAGCCGCGGUAAUUC
rnacentral:rRNA from 1 species